rnacentral:lncRNA from 1 species
AUGUCCCUGAGGCAAGGAAGCCUGAGAUAACCACCUGGAGGAGAGCUGAGGUGUCAGACACCCAAGUGAUCCCUUCUUAGACCUUCCUGCCAGUCACCAGGUGAAUGACCACAGCCAACAGUGUGUGGAACAGAAAAGUUACCCGACAGAGCCUUGUCAAAUUGCUGACCCACAGAAUCAUAAGCAAAAAAAGAUGGUUGAUUUAAGCCAGGGAGGGUUAGGGUGAUUUGUUAUCUCAUAAUGGAUGACUGAAACACACAGUGAAAGCUAAGGGACUGCACCACAUAGCAACAACAACAGGAUCCUGAUGACUAAAGCUUUUUAUGUCAUUCAAAUAGUCGAAACUCUGCUAAGGCAGGAGCAAAGCCCGGAAAAACUCCUGGAUUCCAGGUUCUGCCUGGCCGGCCAGGCCACAGCGAAGUCCAAGAUGUUUCCACGUGGCUCCUGCAACACCUGACUUCAGUUGUCUCAGCACCUGCUGGUGCUUGGAAGCCCAGAGUGAACACUGGGAGGAAACAGGGGAAAGGGGGUCCUGGCAAGAAUGAGGGUCUGCACCGCCAAGCCCUGGAAAACUGUGCUGUGAGGCUCCCCUAUCCCACCCGGCCUCCUCCCUGCACAUUCUGGGGGAGCAAAUGCAGCUCCUCAUCUAUUUAUUUUAUAAAGUGCUGCCCUCUGUUGUAAUUAUCCGAGGGAGUCACAGAGUACACAAUUUUUUUUUUUUGGUACAGGGGAUCGAACUUGGGUCCUUGCGCUUGUGAGGCAGGCAGUGGAACCACUGAGCUAAAUCCCCAGUCCCAGAGUACACAAUUUUAAAACAAUUAAAAGAUGUAAAACAGAGGAUUGGCAAUGAUGGCAGUUUUUAAAAAUUGGCACUAGAACGUCACUUUGAGGCUCGCCUGUGGCUCUGAAGAUCACCUGUCCUGCCCAGCUCUGUCAGUGGAGAGGCUUUUCCUCUAGGCUCUGUGAGCUGUUUGCUCAGGAGCUGCCGCUCUAGUCACCUUCUCUAAGUGUCCCACAGAGGGGACCAGCUUAGGAGCCAUCACUAGUGACCAGCUGAUAAUACGGAUCAUCAUCAUCAUCAUGAGAGCUUAUCUUUCUUUGGCAGUGCUGGGGAUUGAACUCAAGGCCUUGUACAUAGUAGGCAAGCACUCUGCCACCCAGACCUUUUAAUUUUGUUUUGAGACAGGGUCAAGUUAAGGUGUCCAGACUAGCCUUGAACUUGGAAUCUUCUUGCAUCAGCCUCCCAAGUACCUGGGAUUGCAGGCAGGCAUCCACUGUGCCCAUUUGAGAGUUAAUCUUGAUGACGGCUUCUGCUCUGUAAAGGGAGGUGUAGUAGCUCAUUGCUUAGGUCUCUGCAGCUCUGAAAGAUGUAUAGUUAGAAUCAGAGGCCAGGAUGGGAGGCCAAGGCAACCAC